CCAGGGCUGGAACUCCAUGGCCUCCAAGGUCCCAUCCAGCCCAAAUCAAGGCUGGAAUUUCAUGACUUCCCAGGUCCCUUCCAGUCCAAACCAGGGCUGGAAUUCCAUGACUUCCAAGGUCCCUUCCAACCCAAACCACGGUUGGAAUUCAAUGAUGACCCUCAAGGUCCCAUCCAACCCCAAACCAGGGCUGGAAUUCCAUGACUUCUCAGGUCCCAUCCAGCCCAAACCAGGGUUGGAAUUCCAUGACCUCCAAGGUCCCAUCCAGCCCAAACAAGGGUUGGAAUUCCACAAUGACCUUCAAGGUUUUAUCCAGCCCAAACCAAGGCUGGAAUUCCAUGACUUUCAAGGUCCCAUCCAGCUCAAACCACAGCUGGAAUUCCAUGACAACCUUCAAGGUUUUAUCCAGCCCAAACCAGGGCUAGAACUCCAUGACUUCCCAGGUCCCUUCCAGCCCAAACCAGGGCUGGAAUUCCAUGACUUCCAAGGUCCCAUCCAGCCCAAACCAGGGCUGGAAUCCAUGACUUCCAAGGUCCCACCCCACCCCUCUCCCCGACUCCACGACUGCACCAUUAGAAAGAAGAGAACAUUUAAUAUUUUCCAUUCAGAGAUACAA